UACGUAGGGUCCGAGCGUUGUCCGGAAUUAUUGGGCGUAAAGGGCUCGUAGGCGGUUAGUCACGUCGGGAGUGAAAACUCAGGGCUCAACCCUGAGCGUGCUUCCGAUACGGGCUGACUAGAGGUAUGCAGGGGAGAACGGAAUUCCUGGUGUAGCGGUGGAAUGCGCAGAUAUCAGGAGGAACACCGGUGGCGAAGGCGGUUCUCUGGGCAUUACCUGACGCUGAGGAGCGAAAGCAUGGGGAGCGAAC
rnacentral:rRNA from 1 species